rnacentral:rRNA from 1 species
AGAUUGAACGCUGGCGGCAUGCCUUACACAUGCAAGUCGAACGGCAGCACGGGGGCAACUCUGGUGGCGAGUGGCGAACGGGUGAGUAAUAUAUCGGAACGUACCUUGUAGUGGGGGAUAACGCCGCGAAAGCGGCGCUAAUACCGCAUACGCCCUGAGGGGGAAGUGGGGGACUCGCAAGGGCCUCAUGUUAUAAGAGCGGCCGAUAUCUGAUUAGCUAGUUGGUGAGGUAAAGGCUCACCAAGGCAUCGAUCAGUAGCUGGUCUGAGAGGACGACCAGCCACACUGGAACUGAGACACGGUCCAGACUCCGUACGGAGGCAGCAGUGGGAAUUUGGACAAUGGGGGCAACCCGUGAUCCAGCAAUGCCGCGUGAGUGAAGAGGCUUGGUUGUAAGCUCUUUGUACGGAAGAACGAUGGUUUACUAAUAAGAUCUAUUAAUGAACGGUACCGAAGAAUAAG